rnacentral:misc_RNA from 1 species
GAUGAAGAACGCAGCGAAAUGCGAUACGUAGUGUGAAUUGCAGAAUUCAGUGAAUCAUCGAAUCUUUGAACGCACAUUGCACCUCUCGGUAUUCCGGGAGGUAUGCCUGUUCGAGCGUCAUUUGUACCCUCAAGCUCUGCUUGGUGUUUGGUGUUUGUUCCGCCUCUGUGUGUGAACUCGCCUCAAAACAAUUGGCAGCCGGCGUACUUGUUUCGGAGCGCAGCACAUUUUGCGAUCCAGAUCAACGUACAGCGGCAUCCAAGAAGCCUUAUUUAACGCUCUUGACCUCGGAUCAGGUAGGGAUACCCGCUGAACUUAAGCAUAUCAAUAAGCGGAGGA